rnacentral:rRNA from 1 species
UACGUAGGGGGCAAGCGUUGUCCGGAAUCAUUGGGCGUAAAGCGCACGUAGGCGGCCUGUUAAGUCGGAUGUGAAAGCCCCGGGCUCAACCCGGGAAGUGCAUUCGAAACUGGCGGGCUUGAAUAUGGAAGAGGGUCGCGGAAUUCCCGGUGUAGAGGUGAAAUUCGUAGAUAUCGGGAGGAACACCAGUGGCGAAGGCGGCGACCUGGGCCAAUAUUGACGCUGAGGUGCGAAAGCGUGGGGAGCAAACAGG